rnacentral:rRNA from 1 species
UACAGAGGGUGCGAGCGUUAAUCGGAUUUACUGGGCGUAAAGGGCGCGUAGGCGGUUUAGUGAGUGUGAUGUGAAAGCCCCGGGCUCAACCUGGGAAGUGCAUCGCAAACGACUAAACUGGAGUAGGUGAGAGGGUGGCGGAAUUUCCGGUGUAGCGGUGAAAUGCGUAGAGAUCGGAAGGAACGUCAAUGGCGAAGGCAGCCACCUGGCACCAUACUGACGCUGAGGCGCGAAAGCGUGGGGAGCGAACAGG